CUUCGCCGCCCGUGACUCGGCGAGAAGUCCAUUGAACCUUAUCAUUUAGAGGAAGGAGAAGUCGUAACAAGGUUUCCGUAGGUGAACCUGCGGAAGGAUCAUUG
rnacentral:rRNA from 1 species